UACGUAGGGGGCUAGCGUUGUCCGGAAUCAUUGGGCGUAAAGCGCGUGUAGGCGGUCCGGUAAGUCCGCUGUGAAAGUCGGGGGCUCAACCCUCGGAUGCCGGUGGAUACUGUCGGGCUUGAGUACGGAAGAGGCGAGUGGAAUUCCUGGUGUAGCGGUGAAAUGCGCAGAUAUCAGGAGGAACACCAAUUGCGAAGGCAGCUCGCUGGGACGUUACUGACGCUGAGACGCGAAAGCGUGGGGAGCAAACAGGAUUAGAUAC
rnacentral:rRNA from 1 species